CUACCUACAUAAUACCAAUACAAUGAAAAUAAAUUACAGCAUUUCAUCUAUGAGAGUAUGUGUGUAGAUAGGCUUUUUUGAAGAAUGUGCAUAAUUGUCUCGUACUUCUAUGCUUCUGUGAAAUGUUAGAGUAGAUGCAAGCAAAAAUUUCAACUUGCCGCAAAAGCCCUUCAAAGCUACAUACAAACCUAUUUGGUGGCAAUGUUUGUGUAAUGUAUGUUUAUUCACUGAGCGUGAAGUGUUCGUGUUGUCAAUGCCAAUCUUGAUGCAGUGAUCUUGAAUUGUUGGUCACACAAGUGCCGUGGUGUUGUGAUAUCCGAUCGGUUUCAUCCAGACGCAAAGAAUAUAGUGCAAACAAAAUUCAUAAUAGUUGGUCCGACAUUGUGUGUGGGUGUUGCUAAGUAAUGAAGAUGACGAUGAUCGUCAUCAUCGCCAUCUCAUCUUCAUCAUUUCAAUGUUCGUUCAUACAGCAACAACAGCAACUAUAACAACAGUCGGAUUUAAUUGAGUUAACAAGUGCAUCAUACAAUUUAAGAAUUCCGGUGUGUUGUGGUGUGUUCCUUCCAUUCAUUGCAUGCAGCACAAAAGAAUUCGUUCUUGUUUUUGAAGGCCAGACGGCAUCGAAUUGUAUGCAGUUAAUCUUCCAGCUAAAUCAGCAUUCAUUCAGUGGAUAACAAUUGGAUUAUAAAUUUUGACUUGCAACAAAAAGAACUAUUCAAAAGGCAUCUCAAUAAUUACGACCACGUCUGUGCUGUAACCAAUUAAGGUGAUCCUAAAAGUAUGCAACAAUAAACGUCAUCAUGACAACAGACGAAGUAAUAUUGCGACGUGAUAAAGCAGCUGAAAAUGGUGAAGAAUAUCGAGAACCACCACCUCGUUUGCGGGGUCAAAGUACAUAUCUGGCG
rnacentral:sRNA from 1 species